rnacentral:rRNA from 1 species
GGCCUGUUGAUUAUAAUUUAAGGUCUGACCUGCUCAAUGAGUAAUUAAAUGGCCGCGGUAUAUUGACUGUGCAAAGGUAGCAUAAUCAUUAGUUUUUUAAUUGAAAGCUGGUAUGAAUGGUUUGAUGAAAAAAUAUCUGUCUCUGAGAAAAUUUAUUAGAAUUUUAUUUUUAAGUGAAAAUGCUUAAAUAUUUAUGGAAGACGAGAAGACCCUAUAGAGUUUUAUAUCUGGGGAGAGAUUUAUUUUAGGAAUAAUAAGAUUUAUCUUUUAAAAAGAUAUUUUAUUGGGGUGAUAGGAAAAUUAAUUAAACUUUUCUUUAUUUUUACAUUUAUUUAUGAUUAUAUGAUCCUUGUAUAAAGAUUAUGAGAUUAAAUUACCUUAGGGAUAACAGCGUAAUCUUUUAUAGAGUUCUUAUCGAAAAAAGGGAUUGCGACCUCGAUGUUGGAUUAAAAUUGUUUAUUGGUGAAGAAGCUAAUAUAGCAGGUCUGUUCGACCUUUAAAAUUUUACAUGAUCUGAGUUUAAAUCGGCGUGAG